UUAUAUUCUGUUGGUCCUGUUUCCAUUUUUGAAAUUAAACAUUCCAUUCGUUUAGCCUGCAGCAUUUAUUUGAAAAGGAAACAGUGCUACACAACAAGGAUUCAAAGAUAUCCCAAAAUUAUCUGGGCAGUCAAGUUGACAAUGGAAGAAGAGCUGACCCAACCAUCUUCUGGAUGCCCAGAGGAGACACAGGGGACUUCUCCUUAUCAGACCAGCGACCAUGUGAGGUGUGUGGACAGUGAUGAUAUGGAGCUUCCAGCAGUAGUUCCACAGGUGGUGCUGUGGAUCAACAUUGUUUGGGCCUUAGCUCACCUCCACGUCGGCAGUCCAUGUUUUCUCCUGUUCCUGAACUUGUUGUAUUGAGGCCUGGUAUUGAAUGCUCUGAAAUGAGCUAGGAGGCAUCUGGGACGUUCAGCUGCUUAAACUGUCACACUGCAGAAUAUUAAAAUUUAAAAAAAAAAAAAACA